rnacentral:rRNA from 1 species
UACGUAGGCAGCGAGCGUUGUUCGGAGUUACUGGGCGUAAAGGGUGUGUAGGCGGUUCUCUAAGUUUGGUGUGAAAUCUCCCGGCUCAACCGGGAGGGUGCGCCGAAAACUGGAGGGCUAGAGUGCGGGAAGGGAGAGUAGAAUUCCUGGUGUAGCGGUGAAAUGCUUAGAUAUCAGGAGGAAUACCGGUGGUGCAGACGGCUCUCUGGACCGCGACUGACGCUGAGACACGAAAGCGUGGGUAGCAAACAGG